GGGAUUCAGUGUGGGGUUGCAGGGGAAUGGAUACUUCAACAAAAACUUGCUGCUGCUACCAAGAUUGGGUGAGGCCACUGUAAUAAAUCCCAAGCUUGUUGCAACUGACUUUAUGCCUGUGUACAGCAAACAAUGUCAUCCUUGCACCCAGCUCUUUAGGGAGCAGCCUCUGGAUUUGCCUAAAAGUAGCUGCAGUUGCUGACUUGAAGAGUCUUUGCAGGGAUCUUUGGAAAUGGGACAUCAAUCCAGAUUUGCAGAGUUGUAGUCAAAGGUGUAUUUCCUUGCCUGAAGGAUGAGGAAUAACAAGGUCAGCAGGAAAUCCUCUUUGAACCUCCACCUCUGCGUGAGGCCUGAUACUUCAGGGGUGUCCUCAUCCAGUUCCUUAA